CAGGUAAUUCAAAUUCUUUGUCUGACCAUGUUGAUUUAUGAAUGAUUUGUAUGUGAUGGCUAUAAAAGCAACUCCCCCGAAUUUGAGUAAGAUCCGUAGAACUAAUCCAACAUUCGAGGACGAAUGUUCUUAAGGGGGGGAGGAUGUUACGUCCCGUAUUUUUAUACAUUGGGACAACCCGGAUUAAUUAUGAUAAUUUAAGGCCAAGAUUUUUCCGGGAUUUGAAGUCGGGACUUUUGACCAUUUGAUUUUAAUUUGAGAUAUAAGUCAUGUAUGAAAUUGAUGGCAUUGAACACUUAGGGAAAAUUGGGACUACAAUUCAUAAAAUUGGAAUUAAAAUGUUGUGCAAAAAAAAAAAAAAAAAAAAAAAAAUUCCUUGGUGGCCAUGUAAAUGGGAAUUGGUCCCACACAUUGUGUGGCCAAUUUUAAUUGGUCCACUCCAUGUGUGGGCCAAGGACACUUGGACAACAACUAUAUGAGCCUAAAGUAUGACCAAGUAGUCAUCUUUUCCCCAUUGCAAGACUUAGAAAAAAAAAAAUCAAGGAGUUGAAGACCACCUUCAACACCCCUCUCGGCUACAAACCAAGAAAAACCAAAUCCAAAUCAAGCCACCCCAAAAUUAUUUCCUUGGUAUAAAUCAACUAUUUAGAAGUCCCUAAGUAACGUGGAAGAGUUGUUUGGGUCAUCCAACCACUAGUUGUGCCCAAUUGCAAACCCUAACUAUUGAAGGAAGUGAAGAAGGAAGACCUUGGGCAGCCCGAAUCAUAGUUUGGACUUAGCUUGAGUUGGAUCAUAUUGGAGAGCGUUUGAGGUACAGACGCACAGCCUGGUGAUCCACCUGUUUAGGACACCCUUUCUGCUAUUCGGAGUGCUUCUCUCUUUCCGGAGCUUAUACUUUUGGUAUAUAUAUAUAUUUAUUAGUGCAUUUGUAUAUAUUCGUUCAUGGGUACGGCGGGGCCUUGUCCCGUCAUAUGAUUCUGUCGGUCUGUUUAGAGGUCUGUGGACAUGUUUGUGGGUUAGGGUC